rnacentral:lncRNA from 1 species
CUAACUGCUUGUCAAGCAUAGAAUGGGGAAUAAAAUACAUUAUAUGUUGAAAUUGUCAGAAAUUGUGAUAGGUUAUGUGAUCCGCAAAAGACCCUGCUGAAUAUGGUGGCAAGCUGGCCAGGUGGAAGGCGCAUCUCGUUCAUUCUGCAGAGCAUCAAUGUUGGCCUAUACGCCUACAGGAAGGAGCCGUUGAGGAAGGAUGGCUUAUUGACACAUUGGUGCGGCUGGCUUCAGGAUUAAGCAGACGGGUGUUAAUAAGUGCGGUUUGGCGGGUCAUGUUUCGGAGGACGCAUUACUCGACCUUCACCUCCCGAUCCCGUUGGAGAGUUGCAGCGACGAGACAAGGAAAAG